GUGAAAAUGUUUUUUUCUAACCUAACCUCGAGCAUCAUUACUGGGGACCUUACGGAUGAAUUAGUAUUAUCUUCCUUCAUGUCCUUCGGAGCUUCUGGUCAGCCAUCGGAUUUAGAGUACGACUACGUUUCUCGAAAGAUAUACUGGUUAAUUCGGCCGGGGACGCUUUAUAGAUCUGAUAUAAAUGGAUCAUCCAGCGAGAUGGUCUUACAAUCAAACAAUUCAAAAGUGUGGAACUUCUCAAUUGCUAGGAAAAUGAGGAUUCUGUUUCUGUACUUCUCGGAAUCUAGGAACAUAACAUCAAUGUCCAUUGAAAAUGGGACCGUUGAUCCUACCACCAAGAGGGAUGUUGUUAUUAAUCUCAUUGAACAACCAGGCGUCAUGAUGUUUGACGAUGAACAAGGUUAUUUGUAUGCUACACUGAGAGCGUUCAUUGUGCGUAUUCAUAUACCUUCAUCUGGUGAGGUCGAGGUAGUCUAUGAAAACUCCGAAGCAAUAGCCAUCAAGAGAAUGAGAAUCGAUUUUAC